rnacentral:rRNA from 1 species
UUUGACCUCGGAUCAGGUAGGGAUACCCGCUGAACUUAAGCAUAUCAAUAAGCGGAGGAAAAGAAACCAACAGGGAUUGCCCUAGUAACGGCGAGUGAAGCGGCAACAGCUCAAAUUUGAAAUCUGGCUCUUUCAGAGUCCGAGUUGUAAUUUGCAGAGGGCGCUUUGGCUUUGGCAGCGGUCCAAGUUCCUUGGAACAGGACGUCACAGAGGGUGAGAAUCCCGUACGUGGUCGCUAGCUAUUGCCGUGUAAAGCCCCUUCGACGAGUCGAGUUGUUUGGGAAUGCAGCUCUAAAUGGGAGGUAAAUUUCUUCUAAAGCUAAAUACUGGCCAGAGACCGAUAGCGCACAAGUAGAGUGAUCGAAAGAUGAAAAGCACUUUGGAAAGAGAGUCAAACAGCACGUGAAAUUGUUGAAAGGGAAGCGCUUGCAGCCAGACUUGCUUGCAGUUGCUCAUCCGGGCUUUUGCCCGGUGCACUCUUCUGCAGGCAGGCCAGCAUCAGUUUGGGCGGUGGGAUAAAGGUCUCUGACACGUUCCUUCCUUCGGGUUGGCCAUAUAGGGGAGACGUCAUACCACCAGCCUGGACUGAGGUCCGCGCAUCUGCU